rnacentral:rRNA from 1 species
AAAUUGAAGAGUUUGAUCAUGGCUCAGAUUGAACGCUGGCGGCAGGCCUAACACAUGCAAGUCGAACGGUAACAGGAAGCAGCUUGCUGCUUCGCUGACGAGUGGCGGACGGGUGAGUAAUGUCUGGGAAACUGCCUGAUGGAGGGGGAUAACUACUGGAAACGGUGGCUAAUACCGCAUAACGUCGCAAGACCAAAGAGGGGGACCUUCGGGCCUCUUGCCAUCAGAUGUGCCCAGAUGGGAUUAGCUUGUUGGUGAGGUAACG